UACGGAGGGUGCAAGCGUUAUCCGGAUUCACUGGGUUUAAAGGGUGCGUAGGAGGGCAGGUAAGUCAGUGGUGAAAUCUCCAAGCUUAACUUGGAAACUGCCGUUGAUACUAUCUGUCUUGAAUACCGUGGAGGUGAGCGGAAUAUGUCAUGUAGCGGUGAAAUGCUUAGAUAUGACAUAGAACACCAAUUGCGAAGGCAGCUCGCUACACGAAUAUUGACUCCGAGGCACGAAAGCGUGGGGAUCAAACAGG
rnacentral:rRNA from 1 species